rnacentral:rRNA from 1 species
AUUGAACGCUGGCGGCAGGCCUAACACAUGCAAGUCGAACGAGCGGCGGACGGGUGAGUAAUGUCUGGGAAACUGCCCGAUGGAGGGGGAUAACUACUGGAAACGGUAGCUAAUACCGCAUACUAUCGGAUGGACCCAGAUGGGAUUAGCUAGUAGGUGGGGUAACGGCUCACCUAGGCGCCGAUCCCUAGCUGGUCUGGGAGGAUGAUCAGCAACACUGGAACUGAGACACGGUCCAGACUCCUACGUGAGGCAGCAGUGGGGAAUAUUGCACAAUGGGCGCAAGCCUGAUGCAGCCAUGGCGCGUGUAUGAAGAAGGCCUUCGGGUUGUAAAGUACUUUCAGCGAGGAGGCGUUACUCGCAGAAGAAGCACCGGCUAACUCCGUGCCAGCAGCCGCGGUAAUUC